rnacentral:rRNA from 1 species
CCUACGGGAGGCAGCAGUGGGGAAUAUUGGGCAAUGGGCGCAAGCCUGACCCAGCAACGCCGCGUGAAGGAAGAAGGCUUUCGGGUUGUAAACUUCUUUUGACAGGGAAGAGUAGAAGACGGUACCUGUCGAAUAAGCCACGGCUAACUACGUGCCAGCAGCCGCGGUAAUACGUAGGUGGCAAGCGUUGUCCGGAUUUACUGGGUGUAAGGGGCGUGUAGCCGGGUUGACAAGUCAGAUGUGAAAUCCUGCGGCUUAACCGCAGAACUGCAUUUGAAACUGUUGAUCUUGAGUACUGGUAGGGCAGACGGAAUGCCUAGUGUAGCGGUGAAAUGCGUAGAUAUUAGGAGGAACACCGGCGGCGAAGGCGGCCUGCUGGACCGUAACUGACGUUGAGGCUCGAAAGCGUGGGGAGCAAACAGGAUUAGAUACCCUUGUAGUC